GAAGCUGUUUUUCUGAGUAGUGAGUAAUUAAACAAUAAAUAGUCUCUUGAAUGGAGUAGACAUGCCUUUCUCCAGAACCCUACCCAUUCUGUACUGCAAAUCUAUUAGGGUUUGUCCAAGAUUUCCUAUAGCAUCCUUUCCUACCAUGGAUACCCCGAGCACUGUUGGAUCUGUUGAAUUAUAUGGCCUCAACAGCAGAGUAUGUUGUCCUGAAGCCUAGAAUUUCUUCAGUUUUCUUAUGCUUUGGGUUCCACUCAAAACUGGUAGACUUCUAAUGACCCAAGAAAUGAGUCAAAGAAAUAAUCUCAAGUGCAAUAUUGGCUGCCUCCUAAAAUCCAAAGUCGCCCACCAAACCAUAUAACUUUUCAUAGGGGUAAUUGUUUACCUUAGGAUGCUGCAAACCAUGGGACUCCUAAAAUCUUCAUCAAUAUGGCAGGACUUUGAUACUGUAAAUGAUUUAUGUUUCACCUUCAUGUGUUUUACUAUGACAUCCAGAGUACCGGCCACUUUCUGUUCACCAAGUCCAAUUAGCAUAAUGUCAACAACAUAGUAUACCAGCAUGAUAUGUCAAGGUGACAGAGAGAAAGAGAAUACAUAUAGCCUUGGGGAAAGACAGUGAAUGUGUACUCAAAUCCUUUCUUAAUGAGACAGAACUGAUCUUGACCAUCCUUCCUGAGGAGGUUGGAAGAUGACUUGUUUGCCAGAUGGAUAGCCACAACCCAGGAACCAAAGGCUGUGCUGCUCUGUUCCAGUAAAGAUACCACAUCCAAUUAGGUAGCUACAUACAAUUGGGACGCAACUUAGAUAACGUUCCGGUAGUCUGCUGUUAUUCACGAAAAUCCAUCUGUUUUUUGCAGAGACCAUGUAGAUGGAUUGAAUGGGGAUAUGAUGAGGAUGACCACCCCUGCAUUUGCUAAGUUCUUGGGAGUGGCAUCGAUCUCAGCCAUUCCACUGGAAUAGGGUCAGGAAACAAAACGUGAGGGCUCUACCAGCUGCUCAGUCUAUCCUUUCCAAUUGAGCACACUGGAACUGAGGAAGCAAAGACAGGGUGAGCCCUAACACCCUCAUCAUCACUGCUGAGCCUGCCUUGACAAGAACUCCAUUUAUCACCCGCCUCCAUAAUAGCCCAUUCUAACUAGCUGUCAUCGUGGCAUUUCAGGUUCUGCUGAUGUCAUUGUAAGAAAUGCCCUAUGUGUACAGGACCCUGGCUGGCACGUUGGCCUUGCUGCCAUAUGGUAGUCAUAUUCACUUUGUGGUAGUCAUAUUCACUUUGAUGGCAAAUGCUGCGACUUGGCCUCUGCUACUCCAAAAUAUCUUCAUCUUCAGUAAUAUUAGAGAGAUAAUGGACCUUAACUAGUGGGCUGAAGGCAAUGAGGGGAUGUGAGGAUGCAUCUUGUGAAGGACAAAAGUCAUCCUGUAAGGAUUCAUGAGACCUGAGCAGCCAGCCAGCCCUGAAAUGGUUGGAACAGGAGAAAGAAGAAGAGCUCGACAGAUACCCUGCCUGGGCUGGCAGCUAGCUGCACCACAAGCUGGCCAGCUGACAGCGGGCACAUCCCUUCAUCACCCAGUGCCUUUCUUCCCUCUUGUGAAAAUGGAGAUAUGCUGAGAAGGUUACUUCAGCUCAUCCAGAGAAAGCUUCUUCAGCUAACUAGGCUGUAGAAAGGGCCUACAGCCUAAAUUUUCAAAAACAAGUUAAUGCCAGAAUAUAAACUCCGUGAAGUAACAGAUUGUGUCGGUUUCAUUCCUGCAUAGUCGGCUCCUUCAGGCUGAUAGAAAAUCCUGCUUCCUGGAAAUGAGCAAAUAGAAGAGAUAUCUGCAUUUCCAUGGUUGUUGCAGCUCUGUUCACAACAUCCAAGAUUAGGAAGCAACCCAAGUGUCCAUGAACAGAUGAAUGGACAAAGAAAAUGUGGUACUUACAAUAGAGUGCCAUUCAGCUAUAAAAAAAGAAUGAGAUUAUGGCCAGGCAUGGUGGCUCACACCUGUAAUCCCAGCACUUUGGGAGGCAGAGGCGGGUGGAUCACGAGGUCAAGAGAUCGAGACCAUCCUGGAAAACAUGGUGAAACCCUGUCUCUACUAAAAAUGCAAAAAAAUUAGUUGGGCAUGGUGGCGCAUGUCUGUAAUCCCAGCUACUCGGGAGGCUGAGACAGGGGAACUGCUUGGAACUCAGGAGAUGGAGGUUGAGCUGGGACUGCACCAUUGUACUCUAGCCUGGGCAACAAG
ensembl:lncRNA LINC00539 long intergenic non-protein coding RNA 539